CCUACGGGAGGCAGCAGUGGGGAAUAUUGCACAAUGGGGGAAACCCUGAUGCAGCGACGCCGCGUGAGUGAAGAAGUAUUUCGGUACGUAAAGCUCUAUCAGCAGGGAAGAAAAUGACGGUGCCUGACUAAGAAGCCCCGGCUAACUACGUGCCAGCAGCCGCGGUAAUACGGAGGGGGCAAGCGUUAGGCGGAUUUACUGGUGGUAAAGUGAACGUAGACGGCAGGGCAAGUCUGAAGUGAAAUCCCAGGGCUUAACCAUGGAACUGCUUUGGAUACUGGGCAGCUAGAGUGCAGGAGAGGGAAGCGGAAUUCCUAGUGUAGCGGUGAAAUGCGUAGAUAUUAGGAGGAAUACCAGUGGCGAAGGCGGCCUACUGGACUGUAACUGACGUUGAGGUGCGAAAGCGUGGGGAGCAAACAGGAUUAGAUACCCCAGUAGUC
rnacentral:rRNA from 1 species